rnacentral:snRNA from 1 species
UUCGCUUCUCGGCCUUUUGGCUAAGAUCAAGUGUAGUAUCUGUUCUUAUCAGUUUAAUAUCUGAUAUGCCCUCUAUCUGAGGACUCUAUAUUAAAUGGAUUUUUGGAACUGGGAAAUUUUUCUAAGGAUGGGAAAUUUUGAGAAAGGAGAUUCUAGAGGCACAAUCUUUAACAAUUC